GAUGAACGCUGGCGGCGUGCCUAAUACAUGCAAGUCGAGCGCACAGACGAGGACUUUCUUCCUCUGACGUUAUCCGCGGGCGUGUGUGACACACGUGGAUAACCCCUCUAUAAGACUGGUAUCACUUCGGGAAACUGGAUCUAACCCCGUAUUAGAUAUUGACCCGUAUGGUUCAAUAGUGAAAUACGGUUUUGUCACCACUUAUUGAUCGAUCCGCGUCGAAUUAGCUAGUUGGGAAGGUAACGGCUUACCACGGCAACGAUGCGUAGCCGACCUGGGAGGGUGAUCGGCCAAACUGGAACGGAGCACCGGUCCGGACUCCUACGGGAGGCAGCAGUAGGGAAUCUUGCGAAAUGGGCGAAAGCCUGACGGAGAAACGCGGCGGGAGGGAUGAAGGUCUCCGGAUCGUAAAACUCGGUUAUUAGGGAAGAACAAAUGUGUAAGUAACUAUGCACGUCUUGACGGUACCUUAUCAGAAAGCCACGGCUAACUACGUG
rnacentral:rRNA from 1 species